AUGGUGGGCUUGGGCGUGGGCGUCGGGACGGGGGCGUUGGGCUCCGUCAUCGGCAAGCUCGCCACCUUGCUCGGCGACGAGUACACGAUGCUCAAGAGGGUACGCAAGGACAUCGCCUUCCUCAAGCGCGAGCUCCGCAGGAUGCAGAUCCUGGUGGACACGCUGGCGGACAUGGAAGAGCUCGACGAGCUGGCCAAGGACUGGAAGGGCAGCAUGCGCGACCUCAGCUACGACAUGGAGGAGUGCAUCGACCGCUUCAUGCUCCGUCUUGGGAACGGCGACGCCAGGCCCAGGUUCGUGAAGAGGACCGCUCGCGGGCUCAAGGCGUUGUUCGCGCGCCAUGGCAUCGGUACCCAGAUCAAGGAGAUCAAGGCCCGCGUUGAGGAGGAGAACCUACGGCGGCAGAGGCUAAAUCUCGACAAGUAUAUUGUAAGUCCAACAAGGACCGUGGCGAUAGAUCCCCGGUUAGCUGCGUUCCACGGGGUGGCCAAGGGCUUGGUGGCCAUUGACGGCCGCAGGGACCAGGUUAUCUCUUGGCUGCUGACGGAGGAGAGUGAGGAGCUGAAGGUGGUGGCUAUUGUUGGAGGUGGGGGUCUGGGAAAAACCACCCUCGCCAUGGAGACCUAUCGCAAGAUUGGAGGUAACUACCAGUACCGAGCUUCGGUGUCGGUGUCGCGCACCCCUGAUCUCGAGAAGCUCUUGAAAGAUGUCUUGUCUCAAAUUGAUGAAGCUGCAUUUAGUAAGUGUCAGUCGGAGAGGUGGGAGAAAGAUCAACUAAUCCGUCAGAUCCAGCGGAUCUUGACAGGAAAGAGGUACUUUCUUGUUAUUGAUGAUAUAUGGAUAGAACAUCACUGGGAGAUUCUAAGAGCAGCUUUUCCCGAAAAUAACAAUGGUAGUAGAAUAAUUGCUACUACACGCAUUACCAAGGUAGCUAAGUCAUGUUGUUCCAACUCCGGUGAUCAGCUCUACCAAAUGCCACCUCUGAAUGAUGUUGAUUCCCGAAGACUGUUCUUUAAGAUAAUUUUCCACUCGGAGAACUCCUGCCCUAUUCAACUACAAGAUGUUUCAGCUAGGAUCUUAAAAAAGUGUGGUGGUCUGCCAUUGGCUAUAAUUACCAUUGCAAGUUUGCUAUCCCAUAAACAUCAAAACCCAAAUGAAUGGGAGAGACUCCAUGAUUCCAUUGGUGCUGGUCUUUCAUAUGAGAGUGGCGGUGAUGGAAGAGAUAUGCGACAUAUAUUGUUACUUAGUUACUGGGAUCUUCCACAACACUUGAAGACUUGUCUGUUAUACUUAAGUAUAUAUCCUGAGGACGAGGAAAUCUUGUGUGAAGAAUUGAAAUGGAAAUGGAUAGCUGAAGGAUUCAUUGCAACAAAACGUGGAAAUUUGUAUCAAGAAGCGGAUAGUUGUUUCAAUGAACUUGUCAAUGAACUUGUCAAUAGUUGA
rnacentral:rRNA from 1 species